rnacentral:rRNA from 1 species
AUACGGAGGGUGCAAGCGUUGUUCGGAAUCACUGGGCGUAAAGGGCGCGCAGGCGGUUUGGUAAGUCGGAUGUGAAAGCCCACGGCUCAACCGUGGAAGUGCAUUUGAAACUGCCAGACUUGAGUACCAGAGGGGAAAGUGGAAUUCCCGGUGUAGAGGUGAAAUUCGUAGAUAUCGGGAGGAAUACCGGUGGCGAAGGCGACUUUCUGGCUGGAUACUGACGCUGAGGCGCGAAAGCGUGGGGAGCAAACAGGAUUAGAAACCCCAGUAGUCC